AGGGCUUGACAUUACAUGACCGCUAUAGAAAUAUAGUUUUCUCACUUCGGUGAGACAUGUGGAC
rnacentral:rRNA from 1 species